rnacentral:rRNA from 1 species
GACGAACGCUGGCGGCGUGCUUAACACAUGCAAGUCGAACGGAAAGGCCCUGCUUGCAGGGUGCUCGAGUGGCGAACGGGUGAGUAACACGUGGGUGAUCUGCCCCUUAUUUUGGGAUAAGCCUGGGAAACUGGGUCUAAUACUGGAUAGGACCAUGCUGUAGGUGGUGUGGUGGAAAGAUUAGUUUCGGUAAGGGAUGAGCUCGCGGCCUAUCAGCUUGUUGGUGGGGUAAUGGCCUACCAAGGCGUCGACGGGUAGCCGGCCUGAGAGGGUGGACGGCCACAUUGGGACUGCGAUACGGCCCAGACUCCUACGGGAGGCAGCAGUGGGGAAUAUUGCACAAUGGGCGCAAGCCUGAUGCAGCGACGCCGCGUGGGGGAUGACGGCCUUCGGGUUGUAAACUCCUUUCAGCCAUGACGAAGCCCUUGUGGUGACGGUAGUGGUAGAAGAAGCACCGGCUAACUACGUG